rnacentral:rRNA from 1 species
ACUCAAAGGAAUUGACGGGGGCCCGCACAAGCGGUGGAGUAUGUGGCUUAAUUCGAUGCAACGCGAAGAACCUUACCUAGGCUUGACAUGCAUCUCUAAGGCGGUGAAAGCCGUCGAGUCCCGCAAGGGACAAUUUGCACAGGUGCUGCAUGGCUGUCGUCAGCUCGUGUCGUGAGAUGUUGGGUUAAGUCCCGCAACGAGCGCAACCCUUGUGAUCUGUUGCCACCGGCCUUUGGCCGAGCACUCUGAUCAGACUGCCCUGUGAAACGGGGAGGAAGGUGAGGAUGACGUCAAGUCAGCAUGGCCCUUACGCCUAGGGCUGCACACGUACUACAAUGCACAGUACAGAAGGAGCCGAGACCGCGAGGUGGAGGAAAUCACGAAAACUGUGCCCAAUUCGGAUCGCAGGCUGCAACUCGCCUGCGUGAAGCCGGAAUCGCUAGUAAUGGCGCAUCAGCUACGGCGCCGUGAAUACGUUCCCGGGCCUUGCACACACCGCCCGU